rnacentral:misc_RNA from 1 species
GAUGAAGAACGCAGCGAAAUGCGAUACUUGGUGUGAAUUGCAGAAUCCCGUGAACCAUCGAGUCUUUGAACGCAAGUUGCGCCUCAAGCCAUUAGGUUGAGGGCACGUCUGCCUGGGCGUCACAUAUCGUUGCCUGAUGCCAGUUUCCUCGUGAUGGGUGACUGUGCAGGGCGAAUGAUGGCUUCCCGUGAGCAUUGUUGCCUCAUGGUUGGUUGAAAAUUGAGUCCUUGGUAGGGAGCGCCGUGAUAGAUGGUGGUUGAGUGACGAACGAGACCCAAUCAUGUGAGACCCCUACCGAAUUUGGCCUUCAUGAACCACAUGCGUCUUUGGAACGCUCAUGACGAGACCUCAGGUCAGGCGGGGCUACCCGCUGAGUUUAAGCAUAUCAAUAAGCGGAGGA